rnacentral:rRNA from 1 species
GUAGUCCACGCCCUAAACGAUGGAUGCUAGGCGUCGGGGGUAUCGACCCCCCCGGUGCCGCAGCUAACGCACUAAGCAUCCCGCCUGGGGACUACGGCCGCAAGGUUGAAACUCAAAUGAAUUGACGGGGACCCGCACAAGCGGUGGAGCAUGUGGAUUAAUUCGAUACUAACCGAAGAACCUUACCCAGGUUUGACAUCGAGUGAAAGCCUAUGAAAGUAGGUCCUCUCCCACAAGGAGACACGAAGACAGAUGUUGCAUGGCUGUCGUCAGCUCGUGCCGUGAGGUGUACGGUUAAGUCCGCCAACGAGCGCAACCCUCGUCGUGUGUUACCAGCGAUUAAAGUCGGGAACUCACACGAGACCGCCGGUGUAAAUCGGA